rnacentral:tRNA from 1 species
AUCGGUGUGUUGUAGUGGAAGCAUGCGGGUCUCCAAAACCCUGCGGCGGGGGUUCAAAUCCUCCCACCUUUGCCA